rnacentral:rRNA from 1 species
GACGAACGCUGGCGGCGUGCUUAACACAUGCAAGUCGAACGCUGAAGCUUGGUGCUUGCACUGGGUGGAUGAGUGGCGAACGGGUGAGUAAUACGUGAGUAACCUGCCCUUGACUCUGGGAUAAGCCUGGGAAACUGGGUCUAAUACUGGAUACGACAUGUCACCGCAUGGUGGUGUGUGGAAAGGGUUUUACUGGUUUUGGAUGGGCUCACGGCCUAUCAGCUUGUUGGUGGGGCAAUGGCUCACCAAGGCGACGACGGGUAGCCGGCCUGAGAGGGUGACCGGCCACAGGGGGACGGAGACACGCCCCGGCCUCCGAGGGGAGGCAGCGGGGGGGAUUAUGGCACAGGGGGGGGAGGCUGGAGGCAGCGCCCCCGGGGGGGGAAUGACGGCUUUCGGUUUAUAACCCUUUUCCGGCACGAAAGAAGGGAAAGGGAGGGUACGUAAAAAAAAGGGCCGGCCAAACUACGGC